ensembl:snRNA U6 U6 spliceosomal RNA
GUACUCACUUCAGCAGCACAUAUACUAAAAUUGGAAUGAUACAGAGAAGAUCAGCACGGCCCUUAUUCAAGGAUGACAUGCAUAUUCUGAAGCGUUCCAUAUUUUU